rnacentral:rRNA from 1 species
AAAUGACUUUUGAACUUAGUGGCGGACGGGUGAGUAACGCGUGAGCAACCUGCCUUUCAGAGGGGGAUAACAUUUGGAAACAGAUGCUAAUACCGCAUAAGAUUGUAGCUUCGCAUGGAGCAGCAAUCAAAGGAGCAAUCCGCUGAAAGAUGGGCUCGCGUCCGAUUAGAUAGUUGGUGAGGUAACGGCUCACCAAGUCGACGAUCGGUAGCCGGACUGAGAGGUUGAACGGCCACAUUGGGACUGAGACACGGCCCAGACUCC